UACGUAGGGUGCAAGCGUUGUCCGGAAUUAUUGGGCGUAAAGAGCUCGUAGGCGGUCUGUCGCGUCGGCUGUGAAAUCCCGAGGCUCAACCUCGGGUCUGCAGUCAAUACGGGCAAACUGGAGUGUUGCAGGGGAGACUGGAAUUCCUGGUGUAGCGGUGAAAUGCGCAGAUAUCAGGAGGAACACCGGUGGCGAAGGCGGAUCUCUGGGCCGAUACUGACGCUGAGGAGCGAAAGCGUGGGGAGCGAACAGG
rnacentral:rRNA from 1 species